rnacentral:rRNA from 1 species
GCAGUCGAACGCGAAAGCUCUCUUCGGAGAGUUAGUAGAGUGGCGAACGGGUGAGUAACACGUAAUCAAGCUACCCCCGAGACUGGGAUAACCGCGGGAAACUGCGGCUAAUACCGGGUAGCCCUUCUGGAUCGCAUGAUCCGGUUGGUAAAUGGUAGGGAUCCUUCGGGACCUUCUGCUUGGGGAGGUGAUUGCGGCCUAUCAGCUUGUUGGUGGUGUAACGGACCACCAAGGCGACGACGGGUAGCGGGCCUGAGAGGGUGGCCCGUCACACUGGGACUGAGACACUGCCCAGACUCCUACGGGAGGCUGCAGUCGAGAAUCUUCCGCAAUGGACGCAAGUCUGACGGAGCGACGCCGCGUGUAGGACGAAGGCCCUAGGGUUGUAAACUACUGUCACGGGUUAUGAAUUGGCUGUCGUUAAUAGCGGCAGUUUUGACGUAAGCUCGAAAGGAAGCACCGGCUAACUCUGUGCCAGCAGCCGCGGUAAUACAGAGGGUGCAAACGUUGUUCGGAAUUACUGGGCAUAAAGCGCACGUAGGCGGUUUAGUAAGUGUGAGGUGAAAUCCCACGGCUCACCCGUGGAACUGCUUUGCAUACUGCUAAACUCGAGGAAGGUAGGGGAGAGCAGAACUCUUGGAGGAGCGGUGAAAUGCGUAGAUAUCAAGAGGAAUACCAGUGGCGAAGGCGGCUCUCUGGUCCUUUACUGACGCUGAGGUGCGAAAGCUAGGGUAGCGAACGGGAUUA